GCCGAAGUGGCGGAACUGGCAGACGCGCCGGACUCAAAAUCCGGUGCCCGCAAGGGCGUGUGGGUUCGAUUCCCACCUUCGGCA
rnacentral:tRNA from 1 species